rnacentral:rRNA from 1 species
GAUGAACGCUGGCGGCGUGCCUAAUACAUGCAAGUAGAACGCUGAAGGAAGGAGCUUGCUCUUUCCGGAUGAGUUGCGAACGGGUGAGUAACGCGUAGGUAACCUGCCUGGUAGCGGGGGAUAACUAUUGGAAACGAUAGCUAAUACCGCAUAACAGUAGAUGUUGCAUGAUAUCUACUUAAAAGGUGCAAUUGCACCACUACCAGAUGGACCUGCGUUGUAUUAGCUAGUUGGUGAGGUAACGGCUCACCAAGGCGACGAUACAUAGCCGACCUGAGAGGGUGAUCGGCCACACUGGGACUGAGACACGGCCCAGACUCCUACGGGAGGCAGCAGUAGGGAAUCUUCGGCAAUGGACGGAAGUCUGACCGAGCAACGCCGCGUGAGUGAAGAAGGUCUUCGGAUCGUAAAGCUCUGUUGUAAGAGAAGAACGAGUGUGAGAGUGGAAAGUGCACACUGUGACGGUAUCUUACCAGAAAGGGACGGCUAACUACGU